AAAUAAAGAAUACGGAUACGGAUACGUAUCAAAAAGACUUGUAUUGGACACGAUUAUUGUUUACAUAAAAAACAAUAACAAAGUGACAUGUCUUAACUCUUUGUUCACAAAUAAUAAUAUUUUGCAUUUGUAACGCUCGCGCCAACUGCCAAAUUGCAGUGAUUAUAUUUAUCGUCGCCAUUCUCCUUUUCUCAGUAAAUCUUUGAAGUUUUAUUUAGUUUUGGGUACAUUAUUUCGAAUUUAAAGCAAGGAAUUGACAAAGUUACGUUUCAGAUAAUGGAUGAUGAAUGGGACGAUUCUUGUGAUGUUGUUGUGCCAACCCCACCAACACUGCAGUACACAAAGUCAUAUAAUGAUGUUGAUGAAGGUCAUAGCUUGUCACAGGGAAGAGGUUUUACAUCAUUUAUAGAAGAUGAAGGAAAUGAUUUCGACAAAGGUGGCAAUGGGUUUGGUGAAAGGAGAGGACGCGGGGGCCGGGGC